CAGGUCAACUGAUGAGGUUUUUAGGACCAAAGAUGGAAAAACUGGAAAAAAAGAUGAAUGGUCCAAGAAGUUAAGUAGUUAUGAACCAAGGAGUGGAAAUCUUAAAAAAUCAAGCUCACCAUAAUGUUAGUAUCACACAUGGAAUUGAGGAAGAUGGAUCCUCUGUAUUCAGCUAUCUUGAUGUUUUUUACGACAACCUUGUCAGCCACUGUGAAUGCAUUGGUGAGGUUUGCCUUCUCCCGCCAAAGUUUUAUCUUCAGAGACCUGGGUCUCAGGAUGGUGUUUGAGACCCUCAGAGCUCUAUAAGUGUUCUCAGUCGUAGCAUCCGAUGGUUCAACCUCUUAUGGAAUCUAUUUUAUGAUAAAUAAACAAUAGAGCCUAGUUCCAACCGGUAUGGUGCAUACAUUGCUGGCCUCAACCACUGGUGGACUGAGAAAGUUGUCUAUUACAUCCUGGUAUUGGUUGAUAGCAAAUGGUGCUGAAUCAAAGCACUAAAUAAAAAGAAUGAAUUACUUAAGAUGUAAUGUAAAUUUUUUUUAUUUUAUUUUUUCACAUGAUAUUUUAUCUAUAUUUUAACAUUUAUGUGCAGGAAC